GAAAUAUAUUAGAAGUAUCUAUGCCAUCAUUGAACUCUAUGUGAACACUCCAUGCUAAAGCAGCUGUCCAAAGCAGUAGAACCCGUCUCCUCAAAGGCACAUAGAGAUUGCAAAGGAUGAUGCUGCUUAGAAUGAAGCAAUGAGAUAAAUGUUGCUAAGAACUCAUUUUUGAAACUGUACGGAAUCCAACAUCUGCUCUGCUCCCAAGAGCUAACUGGUUGGAAAUGUGGAAGCCUUGAAUUUUGAAACAAAUCACACAGAAAUAUAUGUACCUGGAUUCAAAGACAGUAUUCGAGGUGGCUCAGAGAAUUCUUAGAGUUUAUGUUUAUGACAGAGAUAGUGCCAAGAACAGAGCUCCAGUGUAGUACCUAAGGC